GAAGAAAGCUGGCGGCGUGCCUAAUACAUGCAAGUCGAGCGAACGGACGAGAAGCUUGCUUCUCUGAUGUUAGCGGCGGACGGGUGAGUAACACGUGGAUAACCUACCUAUAAGACUGGGAUAACUUCGGGAAACCGUAGCUAAUACCGGAUAAUAUUUUGAACCGCAUGGUUCAAAAGUGAAAGACGGUCUUGCUGUCACUUAUAGAUGGAUCCGCGCUGCAUUAGCUAGUUGGUAAGGUAACGGCUUACCAAGGCAACGAUGCAUAGCCGACCUGAGAGGGUGAUCGGCCACACUGGAACUGAGACACGGUCCAGACUCCUGCGGGAGGCAGCAGUAGGGAAUCUUCCGCAAUGGGCGAAAGCCUUACGGAGCAACGCCGCGUGAGUGAUGAAGGUCUUCGGAUCGUAAAACUCUGUUAUUAGGUAAGAACAUAUGUGUAAGUAACUGUGCACAUCUUGACGGUACCUAAUCAGAAAGCCACGGCUAACUACGUG
rnacentral:rRNA from 1 species